rnacentral:misc_RNA from 1 species
AAGUCGUAACAAGGUUUCCGUAGGUGAACCUGCGGAAGGAUCAUUAACAGUGUUCGUGGCUUUAACACAGCCAUGAUCCAAUCCCUAUCAUCCAUCCACUGUGUGCAUCUUACCGAGCUUUUUGUGCCUUGGCAAAGUGGAGACACUCUGCCAAAAGGGCGCUUUAUCUUAUUUCUAUCAGACUGAAUAAACUAUUUUUGAACCACAUACAACUUUCAACAACGGAUCUCUUGGCUCUC